rnacentral:rRNA from 1 species
CCUACGGGGGGCUGCAGUGGGGAAUAUUGCACAAUGGGCGAAAGCCUGAUGCAGCGACGCCGCGUGAGGGAUGAAGGCCUUCGGGUUGUAAACCUCUUUCGUCAGGGAAGAAGCCUUUCGGGGUGACGGUACCUGGAGAAGAAGCACCGGCUAACUACGUGCCAGCAGCCGCGGUAAUACGUAGGGUGCGAGCGUUGUCCGGAAUUAUUGGGCGUAAAGAGCUUGUAGGCGGUUUGUCGCGUCUGCCGUGAAAAUCCAAGGCUUAACUUUGGACG